rnacentral:rRNA from 1 species
UACGUAGGGAGCAAGCGUUGUCCGGAAUCAUUGGGCGUAAAGCGCGCGUAGGUGGCCACAUAAGUCCGUUGUGAAAGUCAAAGGCUCAACCUUUGAAAGCCGAUGGAUACUGUGUGGCUAGAGUACGGAAGAGGCGAGUGGAAUUCCUGGUGUAGCGGUGGAAUGCGCAGAUAUCAGGAGGAACACCAAUAGCGAAGGCGGCUCGCUGGGCCAUAACUGACGCUGAGACGCGAAAGCGUGGGGAGCAAACAGG